UCCUACGGGAGGCAGCAGUGAGGAAUAUUGGUCAAUGGACGCAAGUCUGAACCAGCCAUGCCGCGUGCAGGAAGACGGCUCUAUGAGUUGUAAACUGCUUUUGUACGAGGGUAAACUCACCUACGUGUAGGUGACUGAAAGUAUCGUACGAAUAAGGAUCGGCUAACUCCGUGCCAGCAGCCGCGGUAAUACGGAGGAUUCAAGCGUUAUCCGGAUUUAUUGGGUUUAAAGGGUGCGUAGGCGGUUUGAUAAGUUAGAGGUGAAAUCCCGGGGCUUAACUCCGGAACUGCCUCUAAUACUGUUAGACUAGAGAGUAGUUGCGGUAGGCGGAAUGUAUGGUGUAGCGGUGAAAUGCUUAGAGAUCAUACAGAACACCGAUUGCGAAGGCAGCUUACCAAACUAUAUCUGACGUUGAGGCACGAAAGCGUGGGGAGCAAACAGGAUUAGAUACCCUGGUAGUCCACGCAGUAAACGAUGAUAACUCGUUGUCGGCGAUACACAGUCGGUGACUAAGCGAAAGCGAUAAGUUAUCCACCUGGGGAGUACGUUCGCAAGAAUGAAACUCAAAGGAAUUGACGGGGGCCCGCACAAGCGGAGGAACAUGUGGUUUAAUUCGAUGAUACGCGAGGAACCUUACCCGGGCUUGAAAGUUACUGACGAUUCUGGAAACAGGAUUUCCCUUCGGGGCAGGAAACUAGGUGCUGCAUGGUUGUCGUCAGCUCGUGCCGUGAGGUGUCGGGUUAAGUCCCAUAACGAGCGCAACCCCUACCGUUAGUUGCCAUCAGGUCAAGCUGGGCACUCUGGCGGGACUGCCGGUGUAAGCCGAGAGGAAGGUGGGGAUGACGUCAAAUCAGCACGGCCCUUACGUCCGGGGCUACACACGUGUUACAAUGGUAGGUACAGAGGGUCGCUACUCCGUGAGGAGAUGCCAAUCUCGAAAGCCUAUCUCAGUUCGGAUUGGAGGCUGAAACCCGCCUCCAUGAAGUUGGAUUCGCUAGUAAUCGCGCAUCAGCCAUGGCGCGGUGAAUACGUUCCCGGGCCUUGUACACACCGCCCGUCAAGCCAUGGAAGCUGGGGGUGCCUGAAGUUCGUGACCGCAAGGAGCGACCUAGGGCAAAACCGGUAACUGGGGCUAAGUCGUAACAAGGUAGCCGUACCGGAAGGUGCGGCUG
rnacentral:rRNA from 1 species